rnacentral:rRNA from 1 species
UACGUAGGGGCCAAGCGUUGUCCGGAAUUAUUGGGCGUAAAGAGCUCGUAGGCGGUGUGUCGCGUCGGCCGUGAAAACCUGCAGCUUAACUGUGGGCUUGCGGUCGAUACGGGCAUCACUGGAGUUCGGCAGGGGAGACUGGAAUUCCUGGUGUAGCGGUGAAAUGCGUAGAGAUCAGGAGGAACACCCGUGGCGAAGGCGGCACGCUGGGCCGGCCCUGACGCUGAGGCGCGAAAGCGUGGGGAGCGAACGGG